GUCGUUUUGUAUGUGGCCCACAUGGAUCGAACCAGCACGCAUGUGGGUCACUUGGUAAAAACACGACAAGAAGUUCCGACGGUCGAAUUUUUAUUCUUAUCUUUGGGAGCCUCCUCAUCCCGUUGGCUUUGAUCCAUUCGAGGAAACUCCCUUCAUGCUCUCGGGAGGCUCCGCUUUCUCGCUUGCGGCGCUCUUUCUUUCACGCGAUCGUCGGCUCGCGGAGCAAAGUCAGAUCUUUUCUUAACCUCUCGCUUGAUUUUAUUUACAGUCGUUGCUGCUGAUUCUUGCGAUCGCACACGGGUUUGAUCUCCAAGAAGGUGAGCACUAGGACUCCUUUAGCAGGCAAUAGGCAACAUCAUGUGAAGCCUGGACUUUCUGGCUAAAACCCUUUGGAUUCUGUUUCUGACUCGGAACUCGACCUAAACAGCAAGCCCACUAAAUCUUUGCGGUCGACAAGUCAAAAUUUAAGAACCAUCAAUUUGGCGAUAAUGAAGAUCAAGGAAUAGGGACAGCUUCUGCACCAUCCUGGGGAUUCUCAGAUGCAAAAGACAGAUACAAGUAUGACUUUCGUGAUUCAGGUGGCAUUGAGAACCAAUCAGUUCAUGAAUCGGAACAUUAUGCUGUGUACAAGGCUGAGGAGACCCCAAAUAAACUAAAUGGCUGUCUGUCUAAGAAUUGCCGAAGAAAUUAGAGAAGAUGCUUCAAAAACUCUUGUUAUCUUGCAUCAACAAGGCGAGCGGAUUACUAGGACUCAUCGAACUGCUGCAGACAUUGAGCAUGACCUUAGUAGGGUAUGCUUUUCCCUGGUCGCAUAUUUAGUCACCAUGAUGCUAAAUUAAUUUAAUGUAGGCAUACCUAAAUUAACUUGUAACUUGUGUUACAUGAUAUUGUAGAUAAAUUAAUUUGCAGCACUACAGCAGCAAUAUCAGAAUUAAACUGAUAUGUAGGUUGUAUUAGAUGAUCUUGUAUGCUUUGCUUGCUCAUAACCAUCAGUUAUAAGGUCAA